CUAACUCCGUGCCAGCAGCCGCGGUAAUACGGAGGAUGCAAGCGUUAUCCGGAUUCAUUGGGUUUAAAGGGUGCGCAGGCGGAAUAAUAAGUCAGCGGUGAAAGCCUACAGCUUAACUGUAGAACUGCCAUUGAUACUGUUAUUCUUGAGUGUUGUUGAGGUAGGCGGAAUGUGUCAUGUAGCGGUGAAAUGCUUAGAUAUGACACAGAACACCGAUCGCGAAGGCAGCUUACCAAGCAACAACUGACGCUCAUGCACGAAAGCGUGGGGAUCAAACAGGAUUAGAUACCCUGGUAGUCCACGCCGUAAACGAUGAUCACUCGAUGUUGGCGAUACACAGUCAGCGUCUUAGCGAAAGUAUUAAGUGAUCCACCUGGGGAGUACGGUCGCAAGAUUGAAACUCAAAGGAAUUGACGGGGGCCCGCACAAGCGGAGGAGCAUGUGGUUUAAUUCGAUGAUACGCGAGGAACCUUACCUGGGCUCGAACGUGGAAUGACAGUCGCGGAAACGUGAUCUUCUUCGGACAUUCUACGAGGUGCUGCAUGGUUGUCGUCAGCUCGUGCCGUGAGGUGUCGGGUUAAGUCCCAUAACGAGCGCAACCCCUAUCUUUAGUUGCCAUCAGGUAAUGCUGGGGACUCUAAAGAAACUGCCUACGCAAGUAGUGAGGAAGGCGGGGAUGACGUCAAAUCAGCACGGCCCUUACGUCCAGGGCUACACACGUGCUACAAUGGCCGGUACAGAGGGCAGCUACCUGGUGACAGGAUGCAAAUCUCCAAAGCCGGUCUCAGUUCGGAUCGAAGUCUGAAACUCGACUUCGUGAAGUUGGAUUCGCUAGUAAUCGCGCAUCAGCCAUGGCGCGGUGAAUACGUUCC
rnacentral:rRNA from 1 species